rnacentral:tRNA from 1 species
GCGCUCUUAACACAAUGGAUAGUGUCCAAGCCUGCGAAGCUUGGUAUACAGGUUCGAUUCCUGUAGAGCGCACCA